GAUGAACGCUAGCGGCAGGCUUAACACAUGCAAGUCGAGGGGCAGCAUAAUGGAUAGCAAUAUCUAUGGUGGCGACCGGCGCACGGGUGCGUAACGCGUAUGCAACCUACCUUUAACAGGGGGAUAACACUGAGAAAUUGGUACUAAUACCCCAUAAUAUCAUGGAAGGCAUCUUUUAUGGUUGAAAAUUCCGAUGGUUAGAGAUGGGCAUGCGUUGUAUUAGCUAGUUGGUGGGGUAACGGCUCACCAAGGCGACGAUACAUAGGGGGACUGAGAGGUUAACCCCCCACACUGGUACUGAGACACGGACCAGACUCCUACGGGAGGCAGCAGUGAGGAAUAUUGGUCAAUGGACGCAAGUCUGAACCAGCCAUGCCGCGUGCAGGAUGACGGCUCUAUGAGUUGUAAACUGCUUUUGUACGAGGGUAAACGCAGAUACGUGUAUCUGUCUGAAAGUAUCGUACGAAUAAGGAUCGGCUAACUCCGUG
rnacentral:rRNA from 1 species